UCUGUGCCCAUACCACCCUGAACACACCCAGUCUAAUCUCAGAAACUAAGCAAGGUCAGGCCUGGGAAGUACUGGGGUGGGAGGAGUGUCUAACCUGCUAGGAGCAAGAA
rnacentral:rRNA from 1 species